CCUACGGGAGGCAGCAGUGGGGAAUCUUAGACAAUGGGCGCAAGCCUGAUCUAGCCAUGCCGCGUGAUCGAUGAAGGCCUUAGGGUUGUAAAGAUCUUUCGUGGGGGAAGAUAAUGACGGUACCCCAAGAAGAAGCCCCGGCUAACUCCGUGCCAGCAGCCGCGGUAAUACGGAGGGGGCUAGCGUUAUUCGGAAUUACUGGGCGUAAAGCGCACGUAGGCGGAUUGGAAAGUCAGAGGUGAAAUCCCAGAGCUCAACUUUGGAACUGCCUUUGAAACUCCCAGUCUUGAGGUCGUGAGAGGUGAGUGGAAUUCCGAGUGUAGAGGUGAAAUUCGUAGAUAUUCGGAGGAACACCAGUGGCGAAGGCGGCUCACUGGCACGAUACUGACGCUGAGGUGCGAAAGCGUGGGGAGCGAAACAGGAUUAGAUACCCUGGUAGUCCACGCCGUAAACGAUGAAUGCCAGUCGUCGGGUAGCAUGCUAUUCGGUGACACACCUAACGGAUUAAGCAUUCCGCCUGGGGAGUACGGCCGCAAGGUUAAACUCAAAGAAUUGACGG
rnacentral:rRNA from 1 species